ensembl:rRNA 5S_rRNA 5S ribosomal RNA
AGUAAUUUUCAAUUGACCCUGAACAUGCCUGAUCUUGUUUGAUCUCAGAAGCUAAGCAGGAUUGAGCCUGGCUAGUACUUGGAUGGGAGACCUCGCUAUUUUUAGGUUGUGACUC